rnacentral:tRNA from 11 species
GUCGGGAUAGCUCAGUCGG